UACGUAGGGGGCAAGCGUUGUCCGGAAUUAUUGGGCGUAAAGAGCGUGUAGGCGGUCCGGUAAGUCAGCUGUGAAAGUCAAGGGCUCAACCCUUGAAAGCCGGUUGAUACUGUCGGGCUAGAGUCCGGAAGAGGCGAGUGGAAUUCCCGGUGUAGCGGUGAAAUGCGCAGAUAUCGGGAGGAACACCAAUGGCGAAGGCAGCUCGCUGGGACGGUACUGACGCUGGGACGCGAAAGCGUGGGGAGCAAACAGG
rnacentral:rRNA from 1 species